AGUGAACGCUGGCGGUAGGCCUAACACAUGCAAGUCGAACGGCAGCACAGUAAGAGCUUGCUCUUACGGGUGGCGAGUGGCGGACGGGUGAGGAAUACAUCGGAAUCUACUUUUUCGUGGGGGAUAACGUAGGGAAACUUACGCUAAUACCGCAUACGACCUACGGGUGAAAGCAGGGGAUCUUCGGACCUUGCGCGAUUGAAUGAGCCGAUGUCGGAUUAGCUAGUUGGCGGGGUAAAGGCCCACCAAGGCGACGAUCCGUAGCUGGUCUGAGAGGAUGAUCAGCCACACUGGAACUGGGACACGGUCCAAACUCCUACGGGAGGCAGCAGUGGGGAAUAUUGGACAAUGGGCGCAAGCCUGGUCCAGCCAUACCGCGUGGGUGGAGGAGGCCUUCGGGUUGUAAAGCCCUUUUGUUGGGAAAGAAAAGCAGCAGGUUGAUACCCCGCUGUUCUGACGGUACCCAAAGAAUAUGCACCGGCUAACUUCGUG
rnacentral:rRNA from 1 species